CACGCCUUUGCUCAAGGAAAUUCACAGAAACCGCCACUGUUACACAUCUUAUCGAAUGACUCACUGAUUAAUCCUUUUCCUCAUCCCUUCCUCCCCUUCCCAUCUGCCCUAAGAACAAAGAGCUUGUAAACCAAUAAAUUGGGUGGAGCCCAGAGCUCUGGGCCGUGAGCAAGCCUCCAACGCUCUGGUCCCCUGGACCUGCCUUUUAAACGCUUGUUCUGUCUCUUUCUAACUCCUUUGUCUCCGCCGGACUCGGGGUAUCCGCUGGGUGGUGUGGGGCUGGUUUCCCCAACAGCUUUCUCUCCACCCAGCUUCAUAGAUGACACCCUGCCUGCUAGGCCAGAUGUUCUCCGGCCAAGAACACUAUUAUAGCUGCCUGGCUUCUCCCUGAGCAGCGUCAGGUGUGAGGAGUGCGCAUGGCAGCUGCCCAGUGACAGUGUUCCACGCCUUGGUCAAUGGUACCACCAGCCAGCGAGGUUCCCAAGCCAAGAACUUCGGAAGCAUCCGUGAUUCUUCAUCUUCCACAUCCACUUUAUCACCGGAAGCACGCAUUCAACUUUCUAAACAUCCCUCAGACUGACCCACAUCUUUCUAUCCACUUUUCACAUCUUGCUUGAAUGACUUCCCCAGGCCCAGCCAGUCUCCCGCCUCCAGCUCCGCCCCCUUCUGACUCCCUUUAUGUGGUACAAUCAGAGAGCCCUUCCCAAAGCACAAAUCUGCUUUCACUGCUUUGCUUCAAGCCCUUUCGUGGCUCCUAUUUCCAGCUGGAUGAGGUCCAAGCCUCUUAACGUGCUGUACGUGUACAUGCCUGACCCCCGCUACUUGACCAGCCAAGUUUCUUCAUAGCGCUGUGUCUUUGUUCCUCCUGCCUAGAAUGUCCUUCCCCUUUUCUCUCGCUUCAUGGUGUGCCAAACUCCUAUCCUGUGAGAUCCAGCUUACACGUCAGCUUCCCCGUGAUGCUUUUCCUAACUCCCUAUUCAGCCAGUGAAGUGCUCCCUGCGUUCCCAUGUGGCUUGUAUCUCUGUAAAAGCUCCACAGAGCUGUUUUAAUUUAUCCGUUAAUGUACAUGUCUUCCCCACUAGACUUUUGCUCCUUAAAGUAUCUCCUUCAUCUCUGCUUUGCAUAACCUAACAGAGUUCAACACAUAGGAGUGUCUUAAUAAAUGCUGAAUAAAAUAAUUAAUAAACAAAUGAAACAAUACAGCAAACUGUUGAUUCUCCAAAAUGUUUUCUUGAAGAAAAUGUGUUCUUCCUUUCUGAGCCCAAUUCUAUGACUUCUCAUUUCAUCCAAGAUCUUGAUCCAUCAGGUACCAAGGUAGACUUUAGGUAUACAACACUGGACAUUAAAAACACUAUAAAGCUACAAUAAUUAAAAUAGAAUUCAACUUGACACAAAGUAGUCUGUGAAACAGUAGAG
rnacentral:lncRNA from 1 species